AGUGAACGCUGGCGGCGUGCUUAACACAUGCAAGUCGAACGAGAACGGGUUAUAGCUUGCUAUAAUUGUCAGCUAAGUGGCGCACGGGUGAGUGAUGUAUAGGUAAUAUGCCUCUUACUAAGGGAUAACAAAUGGAAACGUUUGCUAAUACCUUAUACUCCUUAUUAACAGAAGUUAAUAAGGGAAAGAUUUAUUGGUAAGAGAUUAGCCUGUAUUGUAUCAGUUAGUUGGUGGGGUAAUGGCUUACCAAGACUAUGACACAUAACUGGUUUGAGAGGAUGAUCAGUCACACUGGAACUGAGACACGGUCCAGACUCCUACGGGAGGCAGCAGUGGGGAAUAUUGCACAAUGGACGAAAGUCUGAUGCAGCAACGCCGCGUGGAGGAUGACACAUUUCGGUGCAUAAACUCCUUUUAUAUGAGAAGAUAAUGACGGUAUUAUAUGAAUAAGCACCGGCUAACUCCGUGCCAGCCGCCGCCGUAA
rnacentral:rRNA from 1 species